rnacentral:lncRNA from 1 species
UUUUAUGUAGCUAAGUUGUUUUAUGUAGCUAAGCUGCAGCUUGACUUGAUGCUAUCAUCUGAUUAAAUUUGUUCGACAUCUCUCUAUCAAAGUCAUAAUAACUCCGUUCUAUAUCAUAUCCUCAACUUUUCCCUGCUCAAAUAUACCAUACUUUAAUUUCCUUCACUAUCUUAACAGCGGUUUGACUUCAUUAUUCUCGCCCACUAAUUGCGCAUUCCGUCAAAAAUCUGGUAUUCAUUCCACCAGCUUUUGAUCAAACCAGCCCAAGUAGCUUCCUUUGCUUGUUUGACACUAUA